rnacentral:rRNA from 1 species
UACGGAGGUGGCAAGCGUUGUUCGGAAUUACUGGGCGUAAAGGGCGCGUAGGCGGCGAGACAAGUCGGAUGUGAAAGCCCCGGGCUUAACUCGGGAAUUGCAUCCGAAACUGUAUCGCUUGAGUUCUGGAGGGGGUAGUGGAAUUCCCAGUGUAGCGGUGAAAUGCGUAGAUAUUGGGAGGAACACCUGCGGCGAAGGCGGCUACCUGGACAGGAACUGACGCUGAGGCGCGAAAGCUAGGGGAG